rnacentral:lncRNA from 1 species
GAUCAUCAGUGAUUGUCUCGAUGUUGCGGUUAUAUGAAUGAUCUUUUGAUCUGAGAUGGUAUGACUGUUUAUAGUGAGGCUACUGGACUUUGACUGAUACAUAAACAUUAUCUCAAUGAGCCCUUAUAGUGGAUAUUGACGAUAGUUAUUCCACUGUAGGAGUAAGGUGCGCAUCAAGAUGGGAUCUAUCAAUCUUGAUAAAAAGGAGUAAUUCUAUGGGAU